rnacentral:rRNA from 1 species
AGUUUGAUCCUGGCUCAGGAUGAACGCUGGCGGCGUGCUUAACACAUGCAAGUCAAACGGAAAAUAUUUCAUUGAGACUUCGGUGGAUUUGAUCUAUUUCUAGAGGCGGACGGGUGAUAACGCGUGGGUAACCUGCCUUAUACAGGGGGAUAACAGUCAGAAAUGGCUGCUAAUACCGCAUAAGCGCACAGAGCUGCAUGGAUCAGUGUGAAAAACUCCGGUGGUAUAAGAAGGACCCGCGUUGGAUUAGCUUGUUGGUCGGGGUAACGGCUCACCGAGGCGACAAUCCAUAGCCGGCCUGAGAGGGCGAACGGCCACAUUGGGACUGAGACACGGCCCAAACUCCUACGGGAGGCACCAUGUGGGGAAUAUUGCCCAAUGGGGGAAACCCUGAUGCAGCGACGCCGCGUGAAGGAAGAAGUAUUUCGGUAUGUAAACUUCUAUCAGCAGGGAAGAUAGUGACGGUACCUGAGUAAGAAGCUCCGGCUAACUACGUGCCAGCAGCCGCGGUAAUACGUAGGGGGCAAGCGUUAUCCGGAUUUACUGGGUGUAAAGGGAGCGUAGACGGUGUGGCAAGUUUGAUGUGAAAUGCAUGGGCUCAACCUGUGGACUGCAUUUGAAACUGUCAUUCUUGAGUGCCGGAGGGGUAAGCGGAAUUCCUAGUGUAGCGGUGAAAUGCGUAGAUAUUAGGAGGAACACCAGUGGCGAAGGCGGCUUUCUGGACGGUAACUGACGUUGAGGCUCGAAAGCGUGGGGAGCAAACAGGAUUAGAUACCCUGGUAGUCCACGCCGUAAACGAUGAAUACUAGGUGUCGGGGAGCAAAGCUCUUUGGUUCUGUCGCAGGCGCAGUGAGUAUUGCUCGCGGGGGGUUCGUUCGCAGGAAUGAUAUUCUAUGGAAUUGACGGGGACCCGCACACGCUCGUGGAGCAUGUGUUCUUUAUUCGAAGCGACGCGAAGACCGAGACUAAUUCUUGACAUAGAUCUGACGGGACCGUAAUGGGUCCUUUCUCUUGGGGGACGGUGAAGACCGAUGGGGCAGGGUUGUCUUCCGCUCGGGUUGUGAGUUGUUGGGUUAAGUGCCGCAACGAGCGCCACCCUUAUCAUCAGUAGCCAGCACAUGAAGGUGGGCACUGUUCGGAGACCGCCAGGGAUAACCUGGAGGAAGGGGGGGAGGAGGUCAAAUCAUCAUGCCCCUUAUGAUUUGGGCUACACACGUGAGACAAUGGCGUAAACAAAGGGAAGUGAUCCCGCGAGGGCGAGCAAAUAUCUAAAAUAAAGUCUCAGUUCGGAUAGUUGUUUGCAACUGGAUUACAAGAAGCAGGAAUAGUUAGUAAUGGCAGGUCAGCAUAAUGCGGGGAAUAAGUUCCCGGGUUGUGCACUCACCGCCCGUCA